GUUCCUGCCACUUAACCCUGCACCAGCUCAGGUUCACUGGACUUUUCUGUAGGCCUCUUCCUCUCACUACUGAAAUGGAGGGAAGAAACUGCCAUUCUCUGCCUCCUUACAGGAGCACAUGGAUUACACUAGAAAAACCUCAGGAGCUAAAAUAUAAAGAUCUGCUUCUUGAACAACUAAAGUCCUGUCAUCACCUGAUUCCAGCGGUGCAGGAGGAAUAAGACUUUGACCAAGCUAACAGCAAGUGACAUGACUGCCUUCAGCUUUAGGUGGGGUUGGGACAAACACAUCACGAACAUGCAUACACAAAUUAAUACUUCUGUACUGAGUCUGACUAGGAGUGAGGUAACUUUCUUAGCAGCCCCUGGGGGGCGGUGUGUUUGGAAUUUGUGGCUAAAAUUGUUUGUAGUACACCAGUGUUCUGGCUGUUGCUGAGGAGUGCCUGCACAAUGUCACAGCUUUCUUUUUUUAACUGUAUGUACCACUCUCCAGUGAGUAACUGUGAGAGAACACAGCUGGGACAGCUGAAAUGACCAAAGGGCUGUAUCCUACCAUGUAACAUCAUGCUCAGCAAUAAAACACGUAGCAGAACGUAGAGGUUUUUGUCUACCAAAGUGACCAUUGCUCAAAGACUGGCUGGGCAUUGGUCUGCUUGUGGGAGGUGGUGAGUUACUGCCAUUGCAUCACUUGGCUUUUUUCUCCCUCUUUUCUUCAGUUACUAAACCUCUAUCUCAACCCCAAAACUGUCUUGAUUUUGCUCUUCCUGUUCUCCCCUAUCCUGCUGGGGGGAAGAGGAGCUGUGUAGGUGCUUAGCUGCUGCCUGGGUCAAACCCCCACAACCUCCUUGCUCUUCUUUCAAGUACUUACCUGUCCUGCCUAACCAUUUAUAAGCUAUAUUUUCCCCCUGUGGGGGUUAUUAAAGUUAUGUGUUUUAAAUCUCGUGUCAGUUAUUUGGGAAUGCUAAUAUAAAACUGUAAAAACCCCAUCUCAUCACAAAUGAUGAUGUCUCCUAAGUAUUUAGAUUAUUACCAGUACUAAUUCAUAUACCUAACAUCCCCUUUUUAUCUUAACUGUAGCCAUGCAAGGAAAAGUAUUUAAGAGCAGCAGCUUACACAUGAAAAAACAAUACAAAAAGAAACUAAAGACUAGCACUUGAAAGACACCAUUUGGGGAAUCUGACUCCAUUAAUGCCAUACAGCUGACCUUCAUUAAACUUCUUCUGUUAACAUUUACUGUGAGAAACACUCUUAAAUCUUUACUAACUUCCCCUGAUGGGCCUGUGCACAAUUGCUUCCAUCUUUAUGGUACCUGGCAUACAGGAGACAUAGAUCUUCACCCGUUUGAGCAGAGUUUUGAAGCAGCAUCUUCCCUGUCAAGGAGCUUAAGAACAAGCUCACAUGGGGGAAGCAAAAUACACAGAGGGUCUUUCAGAAGAAAGGAAGCAUAGCCCCAAUGUGCUAACAGUGCACCACUGUCCACAGCUCCAAGUCACAGGAACACUGUUGGAGAUCAUAAUGAUGAACAAUGCCCACCAAACAAACAGCUGAAUUGCACAAAAUUUAUUAAAUAUAAAAUGCCAUGUUCUGAGAAUCUCCUUUUUGUUAUUAUUUUGAGCACCUGCAUUAAGGAAGAACCUCCUCGUUACGGCAGAUUGGCCAGGACUGGUAAAGUGUCAUGUCUGCCUUUGCAGGGAGAGCUUCUGCGCACUUUAACUCUUCUAGGUAUUUUCAUCUGAGUUUGUUACUGCUGCAAGAAUACUUCUCUUCUUGUACAAAUGGUAGGGUUUUGAGUAAACUACUUUUGUAUUUGCAAAUUUCCAGGGAUUCAAGACAACUGCUUUACAGUUAAAGAUGCUUGUGAAGAGAUCGGAUUUGAAAAACAGCUGAAAUAAGAGAAGUCAUAUUUAAUAGGCCUUAGGCAGCAGUCCUUUGUGCAACUGCUUCCACAUAAGUAAGGUGGAAUUCAGUUUAAAAUCCUAGUUGUGAGUACAGUCAGACCUGAGAGACAGACAAAAGGGAAUGUAGGAUUUCUGACCCCAUCUGCCAGUGCCCUCAUGUCCUUGUUGGUAAUAACCACUGCCCCUCUCCUUGACUAAUUGACUUAAAUUAGAGCAACCACUCAAGCAAGCACUGCUAGCCAGCAAGAGGGGUGCCUGGGCCCCUUUCUAAAGGAAGGUGGUUUGUGUUUGUAAAAUCUGUGCUUAUCCUCUGGUGAGCUGUCAACUUUAAUUGUGCUACAGCUGGUCCUGAUUGUCUGUGAAUUGAAUGGGGAUUUAGUGACUGAUUGGAUGUCUUUCCAUCAGAGAGACAUGAGGCCAAUUCUAUUCCCAAAUUUAUAUGCUACACACAACCACUCCAAAUGGCUCAGCUCUCCCAAGCCUUGGCUUAGAGAAAUUUUCUUUUGAUCACUGUAGACACAGGCUCAGGCAGCAGACCUGGUGGCUGGGUGAUACUCACUCACACAACCUCUCCCCACUGGGUCUCUUACAAUAGUCGUUUUCCCCCCCUUAACAUUCGUAUCACACAUACACCCUUGCCCUGUCUGGAGUUAAGGCGCUCAACAGACAUAGCUUGGUUUUAGAACAAACCUUGUUUUUAAAGCCAAGAAUAAAAACCAAAUUUCAGUGUGAAGACAAAAAAAAACAACAAAAACCACACAACUAGAAAGCAUGCAAACAUAAAUGAAUAAACAAAAUUACAAUUUGCUUCAGAAUUAUAGAUGAUGAUCUUAAAAACAAUUCCCUGAGACACAAAGAAAGCACACCUGAGAGGGUCUGGCAAGGCCUUGCAAAGCACUGAUGAAGAUUAUCAUUCAGAACUCUCUCACCACACAAAAACAAUUUCUGCAACACUGCUUUAUCAUUUUUUACCUUACUGGUACAAACACUGGGAGAAUAACCACCAGUAACUCACCACCACAGCUAAAGGUCCUGCCCAUUGGCAGUUAAUUGGCACAGCUCUCUGAGACAGCUGAUUAAACCCCACAAGGCUCCUUUUCACAGCAUUACAGUAAAAAACUGAUACUAGGAUUGGGAUGGAAUAUAGUGUCAUCUGCAGAGCAGCAUACUCACAGUGGAAGUUCUAACAGCUCAAUACUUUUUGUGCUGUAUGAGAGGGAGGAAUGUAUCACUAUCAGCAGGCAGAGGGCUCUAGGGUGGAGCAGAGGAUUCAAAUCAAAGCUUUCUGGCAUAAAAACAGGCAAGUAGUAUGUAUUCAACAGACAGGUAACGAACAGCUCCUCCAUUCUGUCACUCUCCUUAUCGAACCUCUGUACACAACACUUAAAAAAUUGGUGCUCUGAUCCUGAUACAGUACAAAUAAUGAUCACAUGCCAGCCUCUUAAAAAAAAAUGAUAAAUGAUCAAUUAAAAAAUUGAUCUGGACUAGACAGAAUAAUACAUUUCUCUUAUGUAGAAAUUAAUUGACCGCUAGUUUUUGUUCUGAAACUAAUCUUCAUUUUCAAAAAAAAGCUCACAACUUUGUCAGCCCCCUCCAAUGCUGGGGAACAAAAAAAACCAAACAACCCACUGUAAUUCUCACCUGACUAUCCUGCUUUAGAAAUCCACAAAGUUUACACUACAGGAAGGACUGGAAUCUUCAAGGACAGUAACAUGCUAGAAGAACCAUUAUUCAGGAGAGAGACGAGAGCUUUGUGUAUGAAUCUUCUAAUAGCAACUGGUGGCAGAAUACCCAGCACUUCCUACAGGUUCUGCAGGAGGAAGUGCACUGAAGAGAGAUGAUGGAUUAUUUCCCGUGUUGGCAGUAGUUUUGUGUGCUAAUUAAACUGGUGAAAACAAUUUUCAAGGUUUCUUAAGAUUUACUGUUUUGGACAGUCACUUCUGAAAUGUUUAAUCAAACAGGGGAGAUCUACUAAACAUGCUUCCCAUGCUAGAAGAAAAGUACACAGAAGGCCAGGCUAAGAUAACGCAACUAUUGAAUGUCUAUCUUACUUCAGAUCAAUUUAUACGAUGCUCCCAGAUUUGCCAAGACACCUUGACCAGGACUUGCGUGGAGAAGAAAUCAUCUAUUCAGAUUAAGUAUGUAAUAAAGAAAAGGCAAUACAGAAGGCAAUCACUUUUCACACAUACUGCAGUUUAGAUGUAGAACUCAUUGUGACAAAAGUAAUUAAUACCCACAAGUUUUACUCAUCUCUUGUAUUCCUACAAUAUACUCCAGAACAGCCGAAACAUAUGCAAAACCAGCUUUGUAUGGCUCAGUCUACAAGUAUUGGCUACAUCCAACUUAUAGACCACAUCUUAAAAGCCAAGAGAAGUAGCAACUUUUUAUUAUCCAUUCCACUGGUACUGAAGUUCAGUCUGCCUAAGAAACAAGAGUAAUGCCUAUGGUAUUUUGGAACUUGCUACUCAAUUAUUGCUCCUUAGACAGUCAUAAAAGAAAAUACGUAUCAGACUAAUGCUGACCGCCCUUUUUUCCCUCCCCUCAUCAAUUGAGAGAUCUCAAGAAACAAAAGCAAAUAAAUUCCAGGCUUAUAAAGAGCUAUUUAUGAUUACUGCCGUAUUUUUACCUACACAUCUAUAGCAAACUAAACAUUUUACAUUUCUGACACAUUACAUGCAACCUGUUUGGUUUUGUUCCCAGUAUUCAUUAAAUACCCCAACCCUCCUGUACAUUAAAAUCUAUACAUAAAAUUUAAAAGAUACCAAAACAUAAAAUAAACAUGCUCUCUAUAACCACCGCAUCUGUGAUUUUUAAUAAAUAAGUUAUAUAAAUUAUUCCUUUAUAUUCCAUUAGUUAUGAAUAUCAAUAACUUCCAUCCAAACUACUGUUUUGAUAUAUUAAAGGGGGGGAAAUCUGACGAAAAAGCAUAAAUUUCUUUCAAAAGCUGAAAGGUCACAGUGAGAUUCUUAGCACUGUUAUGAUUCUCUGUACAGAAAAACUAAGUGAUAUAUUCUGGACCGUGUGCAAAAUAUACAUCCUUGGCUUCUACAACCCAUAAUAAAAUUAGAAUUAAGAACAAACUGCAGAUGACUGAACUUCAAGUUUCUAGAACUAUUUUCAAAGAAAACGUUCUUUUGGUCUCUUACAGGAGAAAAAAAAAAUUUAAAGUUUAACAGAAGGUUUUAAGAAUAACUACUAUCCCCCUACAAAAAAGCUUCAAUAAGUAACAUAAUUACUUAACACUCAAAAAUCUUAUUUUUAAGCUAGAAUUCUGAAGAUUUACAGCAGAACAGUAGAAUGGCAAUACUGGGUUCACAAGCUUUAGUAUAGGAAUUCAGUACUUCACUAGGAAAUGCUCUCUCAGUGCACUGACCAUUAUUAAGUUCUACUGAUUUGGAAAACACACAAAAAAAUCCCACGAGAUGGAAAUUACAAGAAAUUAACUGCAUUUCUUGACUUGGAAAAUGGUGCUGGCAUUUCAAUGCAAUGAUUUUUAGGCACACCACAAAACCAGCUACCUCAAAACUACAAAUAAAAGCAGUGAAGUGAUCUCCAAAAAGUAAUAUCAAAUACUGUUCAAAAUUACGUGGAACAUGGAAAAGCCAAGUAAGUGGACAUUUAUAUCCUCCAACAAGUUACAGACAAAUGUCCGUAAUAAGUGAUCAAAUACUAACUGAAGUCUUGGAUGUUAACCAUUUUUAGGAGCAUUCACUACAAAGCUAUGGCAGACGCUCAACUACAUUAAUAUAAAUGUAUUUUAAAGCACUGUUAACUUUGCAUGCUCCAAUUAAAUCAAGCAAAAACAGUACAGGAAAAAAAAAAUAUAUAUAUAUAUACACUGUACUUCAGGAAUCAUUCCCCUCAAAUUAAACAGAAAAAGUAAUGUGAAAACAGUCAGAACUGCUGCACUAAAAAGAUUAUCUUGAAGACAACACUCAGAGCAUAAAGCAGAAAUUAAGGGCAUCUCAACACUUUAGCUAACAAGUGCGAGAACGAAACCCCCACUAUUUUCUCCUGUAAGUACCUGUAAGUCAUAAUAAACUAAUCAAGAUAAAAACCCAAAGACCAUCUGUAUUUUUCUUUAUAAACCCCCUACAACUGAAGAAUCCAGAAUACUUAAGAAAUCAAUUAAUUCUAGGGUUUUUAAUAACUAUUUGAAAGGAACAACAAAUACA